UAGCGCAGUCUGGUCAGCGCAUCUGUUUUGGGUACAGAGGGCCAUAGGUUCGAAUUCUGU
rfam:Zea mays cultivar B73 chromosome 1, whole genome shotgun sequence.